rnacentral:rRNA from 1 species
GAGCCUACGGGGGGCAGCAGUGGGGGAUAUUGCACAAUGGGGGGAACCCUGAUGCAGCGACGCCGCGUGGGUGAAGGAGCGUUUCGGCGCGUAAAGCCCUAUCGGCAGGGAAGAAGGAGGACGGUACCUGACUAAGAAGCCCCGGCUAACUACGUGCCAGCAGCCGCGGUAAUACGUAGGGGGCAAGCGUUAUCCGGAUUUACUGGGUGUAAAGGGAGAGUAGGGGGCAUGGGAAGCCAGAAGUGAAA